rnacentral:rRNA from 1 species
AGCAGUCGCCGCGGGAAUACGAAGGGUGCAAGCGUUAAUCGGAAUUACUGGGCGUAAAGCGCACGUAGGCGGCUUGGUAAGUUAGAGGUGAAAGCCCGGAGCUCAACUCCGGAAUUGCCUUUAAGACUGCCGAGCUAGUAGGUGAGAGAGGUAAGUGGAAUUCCGAGUGUAGAGGUGAAAUUCGUAGAUAUUCGGAAGAACACCAGUGGCGAAGGCGGCUUACUGGCUCAUUCUAGACGCUGAGGUGCGAAAGCGUGGGGAGCAAACAGGAUUAGAUACCCCCGUAGUCCCUGUCUCUUAUAC